UACGUAGGGUGCGAGCGUUAAUCGGAAUUACUGGGCGUAAAGCGUGCGCAGGCGGUUCGUUGUGUCGGCGGUGAAAGCCCCGGGCUUAACCUGGGAAUGGCCGUCGAAACUGGCGAACUGGAGUGUGGCAGAGGGGGGUGGAAUUCCUGGUGUAGCAGUGAAAUGCGUAGAUAUCAGGAGGAACACCGAUGGCGAAGGCAGGUCUCUGGGCUGACACUGACGCUCAUGCACGAAAGCGUGGGGAGCAAACAGG
rnacentral:rRNA from 1 species